GAAAAUACUUUCAUUGCGGAAGCUUUGCUUGUUGUCGUGUUAUUUUGAAAUCAACUGUUGUUUUUGAAAACGCGCCCUAAAGCUAUCCAAUUUCAACAGUUAAAAUAAGUAUUACCUAUCUUAGUAAUACAUAUUAAAAACCAUCAAAAAUAAAUAAGCGGCCUUAUUACAUUUAAAAGCCCAAAACCUCAAACGUAAUUAAAAGGAUGUCCAGUUCACCAGAAGAAAAUCAAACUUUCAGAACGGGUGGCCACCUUGAAUUCCCUCACAGCUCCAAGCCCACUAUGGUCGGGGAUUACCUGCGUGGAUGAAAAUAAAAGGGAUGAGUUUGGGGAAACUCAGUGUGUAAAAUAACCCAACCAUAGUCUAAAUCAGCUCAACCCACAGAAAUAGAAUAAGUUGGCCUUAGCCCAGAACAGAAUUCAGAAUAAAGCCCAUAGGCCCAUAACAGAACAUAACAGAUAUUACAUGUUUAUGCAGAAACCCAACCAUAUCCAACCGUAUACACCCCCAUACCAACCUUACACCGUGUGGUGAGACAACUCGACCCACCCAAACCGAUACACACCACAGAAAUUUGCAGCAUGGCUUGCCAGAACAGAUAAUGUGACAGAGUCACCAGAUACAGAUAAUCGUGGCAGAGCCACCAGAACAGAUAUAUGUGGCAGAGCACCAGAUCAGAUAUUUGUUGCAUAGCUACCAGAACAUAUUGUGGCAUAGCUACCAGAACAGAUAUAUGUGGCAGAGCCACCAGAUCAGAUAAUUGUGGCAUAGCCACCAGGACGCUUCCUCCAUAAUAUAACCCAUGUCCCCAUGCAACAGAUAUAUAUAAUCAUGGAAAACAUCAUACGGAAUCAAAUCGCCAUGCUUUUCAGUCAAAAUUAACCCUACGGGUAUAACAGUAAUUUUGCAACUAGGGGUAUAACAGUAAUUUUCCAUACAUAGGGGUAUUAUAGUAAUUUAGCUACUUUUAGGGUUUUCAUGCAUAUCCUAACUAUUUACGUAUUAUCAGAACACUUACUGCGCAUACUUACCGAAUUGGGCCCGUUGGCCCAUGAACCCGAUCUUUGGCCCAUUAAGCCCAAAUUAUCAAAAUGUACGAAAUCGCGCGUACUGCAGUUUAUUACUUUAGAUUAUCAAAUAUACAAACCCAACUAUCUUACGAGCAUUCGCACACUCGCAAAUUCCCAAAAUACCGACUUUUCGGUAUUUCAGCUUUUCGGCUUUUGCCAAUCUAGUCUAUGAGAGGGUGUCAGUUACACACCUGUUUGCGACGAUAUGCUGACGAGAUCCACACACGAACCGCCUACAAUUGGAUUACUAACACGUUAAUCUAACUAUUCAAAUACAAACUACGUAUUAACCCCUUACAAUAUUCGGCCAACCACACCUACAGAUCAUAGUAAGCUUAUAAGAAAUCAAUAAGCAACUCAUUAACAAUUUUUUGUCAAUGUUUACCACAUAAUCAUAAUUUCACUGCAAGUUGUCUUCCUGAGCAAUAGUCACUAAAUUAUUUAUAACUGGAGCUACGAAACUCCAAAUCAAGUUCCGUUAAUUUUCCCUGAAAAUUGACUCAUAUAUAUUUUAUCCAUAAAAUUUUCAGAAUUUUUGGUUUAGCCAAUCAAUACCAGAUUUUCUCAAAGUUUCCCAUGUUUCACUAUUUGACUAAUCUGACCACUCUUCAUUAUGAAUCAAAUUUCUCAUUGUACAGAAUUCAAAAUAUGUUCUUGUUUAUUUCAUUAGAAACUAGACUCAAUAAGCUUUAAUUACAUAAUUUAUUUAGCUUCUAAUUGUUCUCCCACAAUUUAUGGUGAUUUUCCAAAGUCACGUUACUGCUGCUGUCCCAAGCAGAUUUAUUACCAAAUCACUCUUUCACACAUACCUUGCAUGCAUGUUAUUUAAACAUGUAUAUCACCAAUCAAUCAUUACAUAUCUAUGAUUUUACUUAAGUAUAAUCUCCAUUUCAUCAUUUUAAAGCACAACAUGUUAGCUGAUUUUUCCCUUUAACAUCUAAGGCACAUGCAUGCUCAUUUGUUUGGCUCAACUUCACCUAUCUUCCAUUUUUCAUCAAAAGAACAUGAAACAACAACCAUUUCCUUCAUUUUAAUUCAUGACUAAAUGCUCACAACACAACUAAAAAUCAAAAUAUACUUCAAGAGUUAAGGUAGAAUCAAGAAGAACUCAUGAACCUUAAAAUAGAAGCAAGGUACCAAGAACUUACCUUCAAUUUUCCUCCUCCUAAUGACCAAAUACUCAAGAGCUUUCUCCUCUCCUUUCUCUUCUCUAACUUUCAGCUAUGAUGAACAAAGAUGGACAAAACUUUGUUCUUUU
rnacentral:lncRNA from 1 species